AUCUGCUUAAAUGGCUCUUGUAGCAUGCAUGAGUUUUGCAAGUGAAUUGAAUGAAGAUCCACCUUCCAUUAUAUAAUCUUCAUUGUCGUCUCUCAGUCAUUUCCUUAACUUUCUCUCUCACUUCACUUUCACCGUCCAUUACCUUUCCAACAGUUUUCUUGAUCUCAUCAACCAUCACAAGUUCAUCACUUUCUUAUAGACCAAUCUCAUCUCCACCACUAAC